UAGCUAUCUGAGUUAUCCUGAGGUCGAGAGUUCGAGCCUCUCUCACCCCACGUUAUUCAAUUUUCCUGCAAGUUAAACACUUCGUAAUUAGGCCCAAGGCCCUAAACCCUCGACAAAACCCAGACAGACACAGUAGGCCGCCUUCAACCUCUCCCACGUUUUUCUCUACCAAUCGUCGAACAUCGCACUAGGAUUAAAGGUGGUGGAGAGGAGCAAAGAGAGAGCAAGAGCAAAAUGGCACCGCUGAAUACAAUAUCGUAAGGAAGGUGAAGGAGCACCACAAGAAGAAGGCCAAGGAAGCCAAGAAGCUCUCCCUUAAGCACAACAGAAGCUCAAGGCCCUCGAAGCCCGCCGUGCCCUCGCCCUCGAAGAGUUGGAGCAAAAGAAAGCCGCACGCAAAGAAAGGAUGUUGAUUAUGAUGAUGCAAAGCUGGAUGGCCAGGAGCAGUUCUAGUAUAAAGACUUAGAGAGGAAUAAGUGUCUUUUACACAAGGAUUAAGCUUUCUUUUACGUCAUUUCAAUAACUAGUCUUUUUUAAGACUACCUCAUGUUUUACUUUAUUUUCAGUUUCAAGUUUCUCUUCCUACACAAGUUUGUCCUUCAAAAAUUAUUUAUAAUACUCAAAAGGGAGAAAUG